UACGGGGGGGGCAAGCGUUGUUCGGAAUUACUGGGCGUAAAGGGCUCGUAGGCGGCCAACUAAGUCAGACGUGAAAUCCCUCGGCUUAACCGGGGAACUGCGUCUGAUACUGGAUGGCUUGAAUUCGGGAGAGGGAUGCAGAAUUCCAGGUGUAGCGGUGAAAUGCGUAGAUAUCAGGAGGAACACCGGUGGCGAAGGCGGGUCUCUGGGCAACAACUGACGCUGAGGAGCGAAAGCGUGGGGAGCGAACAGG
rnacentral:rRNA from 1 species